AACGUAGGUGGCGAGCGUUAUCCGGAUUUACUGGGCGUAAAGCGUGUGCAGGCGGGGAGGCAAGUGGUGUGUGAAAUUUCCCGGCUUAACCGGGAAGGGUUAUGCCAGACUGCCUUUCUGGAGUGCGAGAGAGGGGCGUGGAAUUCCGGGUGUAGUGGUGAAAUGCGUAGAGAUCGGGAGGAACACCCGUGGCGAAGGCGGCCAUCUGGACCAGCACUGACGCUGAGGCACGAAAGCGUGGGGAGCAAACAGG
rnacentral:rRNA from 1 species